rnacentral:rRNA from 1 species
UACGAAGGGGGCUAGCGUUGCUCGGAAUCACUGGGCGUAAAGGGUGCGUAGGCGGGUUUUUAAGUCAGAGGUGAAAUCCUGGAGCUCAACUCCAGAACUGCCUUCGAUACUGGGAAUCUUGAGUCCGGAAGAGGUGAGUGGAACUGCGAGUGUAGAGGUGAAAUUCGUAGAUAUUCGCAAGAACACCAGUGGCGAAGGCGGCUCACUGGUCCGGUACUGACGCUGAGGUGCGAAAGCGUGGGGAGCAAACAGG